AAAGGGAGACCUAAUUCGGGUAUGGGAUGAAAAAAAAGUAGUCCCUACCAAGAAUCAAUCCCAAAAGGUCGGAGCGAGGCAUAAGGCUUUCAAACUAGGUUCUGGGUUCACACAAGACCUGAAUCAGGAACAAGGGCUAUUAGCUCAGGUGGUUAGAGCGCACCCCUGAUAAGGGUGAGGUCCCUGGUUCGAGUCCAGGAUGGCCCACCUGCACAGGUGGCAAAAACAAAGAAAAGAAGCGAGGAAUCAGCACCUUAUCUUACUUAUAUAGUAAGAGAGAAUGCUGGCUCUGAGUACAGAGUCCAGAGGAACCUUGAAAACUGCAUAGAGCUAGGUGAAAAAGCCAAAAAAGAAGACCGCAAG
rnacentral:tRNA from 1 species